UAUUGUGAAGCAGGUUGUUGCAGCGAGGGGUCGGAGACUCCGUCAUGUCUCUGUUUGUGAUACUCGGGCUGCUCGUCUGCAUCAAGGCUCAAGAAACCCCUGCUGUGACUCCUGUGUUUGUGCUGAAGGGACGAGAUCUGCUGCUGAAGUUUGAUGCUGUUCUUCAGGAGUUUUCAUUUAUUGAGUGGAAAUUCAACAACAGGGUUAAUUUAGUAAGAUUUGAACCGACUGGACAACAUUUAGAAUACAACAAUUUCCCCGGAAGGCUUGAGUUUCCUGAGAUAGACUUCGCUGUGAUAUUGAAGAAUCUGCAAGAGGCCGACAGUGGAGUUUAUUCUGCACAACUGGUGACGAUUCUGAAAGACCAAACUCUUGUUGAAUACAAGGUCACAGUUCAAGGUGAGUCUGUAAACUUCUCACUGAUGGAGAGUUUCUGCCGCCAUGUUUCAUAAA